UGAUCCGGGUUGCGGACAGUGUCUGGUGGGUAGUUUGACUGGGGCGGUCUCCUCCUAAAGAGUAACGGAGGAGCACGAAGGUUGGCUAAUCCUGGUCGGACAUCAGGAGGUUAGUGCAAUGGCAUAAGCCAGCUUGACUGCGAGCGUGACGGCGCGAGCAGGUGCGAAAGCAGGUCAUAGUGAUCCGGUGGUUCUGAAUGGAAGGGCCAUCGCUCAACGGAUAAAAGGUACUCCGGGGAUAACAGGCUGAUACCGCCCAAGAGUUCAUAUCGACGGCGGUGUUUGGCACCUCGAUGUCGGCUCAUCACAUCCUGGGGCUGAAGUAGGUCCCAAGGGUAUGGCUGUUCGCCAUUUAAAGUGGUACGCGAGCUGGGUUUAGAACGUCGUGAGACAGUUCGGUCCCUAUCUGCCGUGGGCGCUGGAGAACUGAGGGGGGCUGCUCCUAGUACGAGAGGACCGGAGUGGACGCAUCACUGGUGUUCGGGUUGUCAUGCCAAUGGCACUGCCCGGUAGCUAAAUGCGGAAGAGAUAAGUGCUGAAAGCAUCUAAGCACGAAACUUGCCCCGA
rnacentral:rRNA from 1 species